GAUUGUUGUAUUGUAAGAGUGCGUGGUUCUAUUUAAAUUAAAUAAUACUGAACGCCGGAAUAAAAUUAUGGUAGCUAAAAGAGUUAUAGGUAUUGCGUCGAUAGUGAUUUUUUGUGUUUAUCUUUGGUUUCAUGCUGACCACAAAACACGUGACAAGUUUAUUGUUAAUUUAUGGGAAAAAUAUUUUGGAUACACAUGUAUUGGUGUAGUAAUAGUUAUUAUAAUAAUAGGGAAAUGUUGUGGAUGCGAUCAGGAAUUCGACGAUUGUUAUAAUAAUAAUAAUAAUAAUAAUAUUUAUUGUCGAACAGAAUACAUCCAAUUGUGACAAUUUGAGAAAAGAAAAACUAUUCCUAAUAUAUUUAAGAUCAAAAUGAAAACAAUACUUAUUUUUGUUAAUUAUUAAUUUCUUAAUUCUCUAACCAAAGAACGUAAAGAUAACUGCAUAACAUCUGUUUUUACUUCGAGAGAGUUAAUUGCUCGAGAGAUAUUGUCGAUUAUACAACAUACAACGACUAGCUAACCUUGGAACUAGAAACUGAAAUAAAUUGACCAAUUCAGUGCAGUCAAUUAUGUUCUUGAGCAAUUUAAAUCCAAAAAUUAUGUCACUUUUUACUUUUUACUUUUCUCAUCAUAGUAAUAAUAAUGAUGAUCUGAAAUCACUCAUAG